GCGCCUAUAGCUCAACCGGAUAGAGUGUCUGACUACGAAUCAGAAGGUUGGGGGUUCGACUCCCUCUGGGCGCA
rnacentral:tRNA from 1 species